rnacentral:rRNA from 1 species
UGUAGACACAGGGAUUGCCUUAGUAGCGGCGAGUGAAGCGGCAAAAGCUCAAAUUUGAAAUCUGGCGCCUUCGGUGUCCGAGUUGUAAUUUGAAGAUUGUAACCUUGGGGUUGGCUCUUGUCUAUGUUUCUUGGAACAGGACGUCACAGAGGGUGAGAAUCCCGUGCGAUGAGAUGCCCAAUCCUAUGUAAGGUGCUUUCGAAGAGUCGAGUUGUUUGGGAAUGCAGCUCUAAGUGGGUGGUAAAUUCCAUCUAAAGCUAAAUAUUGGCGAGAGACCGAUAGCGAACAAGUACAGUGAUGGAAAGAUGAAAAGAACUUUGAAAAGAGAGUGAAAAAGUACGUGAAAUUGUUGAAAGGGAAGGGUUUGAGAUCAGACUCGAUAUUUUGUGAGCCUUGCCUUCGUGGCGGGGUGACCCGCAGCUUAUCGGGCCAGCAUCGGUUUGGGCGGUAGGAUAAUGGCGUAGGAAUGUGACUUUACUUCGGUGAAGUGUUAUAGCCUGCGUUGAUGCUGCCUGCCUAGACCGAGGACUGCGAUUAUCAAUGAUGCGGCAUU